GACGAACGCUGGCGGCGUGCUUAACACAUGCAAGUCGAACGGAAAGGCCCUGCUUUUGUGGGGUGCUCGAGUGGCGAACGGGUGAGUAACACGUGAGUAACCUGCCCUUGACUUUGGGAUAACUUCACGAAACUGGGGCUAAUACCGGAUAGGAGCUCCUGCUGCAUGGGGGGGGUUGGAAAGUUUCGGCGGUUGGGGAUGGACUCGCGGCUUAUCAGCUUGUUGGUGGGGUAGUGGCUUACCAAGGCUUUGACGGGUAGCCGGCCUGAGAGGGUGACCGGCCACCUUGGGACUGAGAUACGGCCCAGACUCCUACGGGCGGCAGCAGUGGGGAAUAUUGCACAAUGGGCGGAAGCCUGAUGCAGCAACGCCGCGUGCGGGAUGACGGCCUUCGAGUUGUAAACCGCUUUCGCCUGUGACGAAGCGUGAGUGACGGUAAUGGGUAAAGAAGCACCGGCUAACUACGUG
rnacentral:rRNA from 1 species